rnacentral:rRNA from 1 species
AAUCAACGCUGGCGGCGUGCCUAACACAUGCAAGUCGAACGAGAAAGUGGGGGCAACUCCAUGAGUACAGUGGCAGACGGGUGAGUAACACGUGAACAAUCUACCCUCGGGUGGGGAAUAACACCGCGAAAGCGGUGCUAAUACCGCAUAACAUCUCCGGGUCGCAUGACCUGGAGAUCAAAAGCGCAAGUUGCUCGAGGAGGAGUUCGCGCCUGAUUAGCUAGUUGGUGAGGUAACGGCCCACCAAGGCAACGAUCAGUAGCCGGCCUGAGAGGGCGAACGGCCACACUGGAACUGAGACACGGUCCAGACUCCUACGGGAGGCAGCAGUGGGGAAUUUUGCGCAAUGGGCGAAAGCCUGACGCAGCAACGCCGCGUGGAGGAUGAAGGCCUUCGGGUCGUAAACUCCUGUCAGUGGGGACGAAUGCUUCGCAAGAAGUUUGACUGUACCCGCUGAGGAAGCCACGGCUAACUCCGUGCCAGC